rnacentral:rRNA from 1 species
GACGAACGCUGGCGGCGUGCUUAACACAUGCCAGUCGAACGGAAAGGCCCUGCUUUUGUGGGGUGCUCGAGUGGCGAACGGGUGAGUAACACGUGAGUAACCUGCCCUUGACUUUGGGAUAACUUCAGGAAACUGGGGCUAAUACCGGAUAGGAGCUCCUGCUGCAUGGUGGGGGUUGGAAAGUUUCGGCGGUUGGGGAUGGACUCGCGGCUUAUCAGCUUGUUGGUGGGGUAGUGGCUUACCAAGGCUUUGACGGGUAGCCGGCCUGAGAGGGUGACCGGGCACAUGGGGACUGAGAUACGGCCCAGACUCCUACGGGAGGCAGCAGUGGGGAAUAUGGCACAAUGGGCGGAAGCCUGAUGCAGAAACGCCGCGUGCGGGAUGACGGCCUUCGGGUUGUAAACCGCUUUCGCCUGUGACGAAGCGUGAGUGACGGUAAUGGGUAAAGAAGCACCGGCUAACUACGUG